GAACGCGAAGAACCUUACCAAGUCUUGACAUCCUUUUACCACUCUAGAGAUAGAGCUUUCCCUUCGGGGACAAAGUGACAGGUGGUGCAUGGUUGUCGUCAGCUCGUGUCGUGAGAUGUUGGGUUAAGUCCCGCAACGAGCGCAACCCUUAUUACUAGUUGCCAGCAUUGAGUUGGGCACUCUAGUGAGACUGCCGGUGACAAACCGGAGGAAGGUGGGGAUGACGUCAAAUCAUCAUGCCCCUUAUGACUUGGGCUACACACGUGCUACAAUGGAUGGUACAACGAGCAGCGAACUCGCGAGGGUAAGCGAAUCUCUUAAAGCCAUUCUCAGUUCGGAUUGUAGGCUGCAACUCGCCUACAUGAAGCCGGAAUCGCUAGUAAUCGCGGAUCAGCACGCCGCGGUGAAUACGUUCCCGGGUCUUGUACACACC
rnacentral:rRNA from 1 species